AUACGGAGGGUGCAAGCGUUAAUCGGAAUUACUGGGCGUAAAGCGUACGUAGGCGGUUGGUUAAGUUAGAUGUGAAAGCCCCGGGCUUAACCUGGGAACUGCAUUUAAAACUGGCGAACUAGAGUUGCGUAGAGGGGAGUGGAAUUUAAGGUGUAGCGGUGAAAUGCGUAGAGAUCUGAAGGAACACCAGUGGCGAAGGCGACUCCCUGGACUCGAACUGACGCUGAGGUACGAAAGCGUGGGUAGCAAACGGGAUUAGAUACCCUAGUAGUCC
rnacentral:rRNA from 1 species